ACUUGGGUCUGAUUCAUAACGAUCUGAAGGUUAUUGAGACUGACUAUCCACGAGAUGCUGAGCGAUGUCUUAGUGAAUGUUUAGCAAAAUGGCUUAAUGAUGAUACUGAAGCAACAUGGGACAAACUAGCUAUAGCUGCUGGUAAAGUAAAAACGACAUCAGUUGCUGAAUAUGAUCAACAAAAGAGCUUUAAUGGUAUGCCAGGAUUUGAAAUUAAUUAAAACUAUAGUUACAUUGUUACAGUAGAAUAAACUUAUAAUUAUUAGUAGUUGCUAUUUUUAGUGUGCAAUGCUGCUAAAACGUAUAUAACAAGAUAGUUCUUAAGUACAUUGUAGUUAUUAUACCAUUCUUUAUAAUUAGCUACUUCAUUAUAGUUGAA